GACAGCACCACCAUUGAUAUCGAGUUGGCCCAGCAACAGCACCAGUCCGGCCUGCAGGAGCCCCAGUCCAGGACGACCCAUCCACUCCCCUGACCCAUAACUCAUCAUACUUGAUAUCCGGAAAAAUGGGGCCUUAUGCAUGUGCUUAAAUUGUUGUCACAGAUAAGCCUAUGCAGUUUGCACAGGCUAAUAAUGGACAACAUUUUCCUCUUAAAGCAGAGCACCAGCAUUGAUAUCGAGUUGGCCCAGCAACCGCACCAGUCCCGCCUGCAGAAGCCCCAGUCCAGAAUGACCCUCCCCCUCCAUUGACUUCUAACUCCUCCCCCUUGACCUCCUGCCUCAAAAAGUCAGCAUCGUUGAAAAAAUCUGUUCUGCAGGAAAUUCUGAGCAUGAUUCUGUUCUGACAAAACGCAAUGCCCACUUUACGUUUUCCAAACAAAAGCCUGGGUAGUUUUGUUAAGCUAGAGUUCCGCGUGGGCCUGAAAGGGACAAGUGUUACAGACACGAAAAGUUAUAGCAGAAGUUAUGGUAACGCUAACAGUCAGUUGUUGCUGUUGGACAUCACAACAAAUAUCAUGAAGAAUAAAAAGUUCAAUCACUUGUUCCAAUCGUUAUGGGACAAACAGAAAUUGAACAGGAGAGAAUCAAGGAACAAUAAAAGCGUAAGCUUUCCUAGUGGUAUACGUCUGCUGUUGAUAGUUUGGACAACAGAAGGGUUACGGACUGCCCCAGAUUGUCCUCUCAGCGGCCAAAAUAUCAUAAUAGAACAGACUUUUAGCAAUGUUACAAACAAAAAAAGGCAGAAAUGACUUGGUUGUGAACACCCGGAGCGCGAUACAUCCAUUCUUACACAGAAAGGCGGUAAUAACUUGGUUGUGAACACCCAGAGCACAAUACAUCCAUGCUGACACAGAAAGGAAGUAAUGACUUGGUUGUGAACACCCAGAGCACAAUACAUCCAUGCUGACACAGAAAAUAAGUAAUGACUUGGUUGUGAACACCCAGAGCAAGAUAUAUCCAUGCUGACACAGAAAGGCAGUAAUGACUAUGCUGUGAACACCCAGAGCACAAUACACCCAUGCUGACACAGAAAGGCAGUAAUGACUUGGCUGUGAACAAAGAGCACAAUACAUCCAUGCUGAAACAGAAAGGCAGUCAUGACUAUGCUGUGAACACCCAGAGCACGAUAUAUCCUUGCUGACACAGAAAGGCAGUAAUGACUAUGCUGUGAACACCCAGAGCAAGAUAUAUCCAUGCUGACACAGAAAGGCAGUAAUGACUAUGCAGUGAACACCCAGAGCAAGAUAUAUCCAUGCUGACACAGAAAGGCAAUAAUGACUAUGCUGUGAACACCCAAAACACAAUACAUCCAUGCUGACACAGAAAGGCAGUAAUGACUUGGUUGUGAACACCAGGAGCAAGAUAUAUCCAUGCUGACACAGAAAGGCAGUAAUGACUUGGCUGUAAACACAGAGCACAAUACACCCAUGCUGACACAGAAAGGCAGUAAUGACUUGGCUGUGAACACAGAGCUUAAUACAUCCAUGCUGACACAGAAAGGCAGUAAUGACUUGGCUGUAAACACAGAGCACAAUACAUCCAUGCUGACACAGAAAGGCAGUAAUGACUUGGCUGUAAACACAGAGCACAAUACAUCCAUGCUGACACAGGCAGUUAUGACUUGGUUGUGAACACAGAGCACAAUACAUCCUUGUUGACACAGAAAGGCAGUAAUGACCUAGCUGUGAACUCAAAGCACGAUACAUCCAUGCUGACACAGAAAGGCAGUAAAGACUUGGAUGUAAACACCCAGAGCACAAUACAUCCAUGCUGACACAGAAAGACAGUUAUGACUUGGUUGUGAACACAGAGCACAAUACAUCCUUGUUGACACAGAAAGGCAGAAGGGACUUUGCUGUGAACUCAGAGCACGAUACAUCCAUGCUGACACAGAAAGGCAGUAAUGACUUGGACGUAAACACCCAGAGCAUGAUACAUCCAUGCUGACACAGAAAAGCAGUUAUGACUUGGCUGUAAACACAGAGCACAAUACAUCCAUGCUGACACAGAAAGGCAGUAAUGACUAUGCUUUUAACACCCAGAGCACAAUACAUCCAUGCUGACACAGAAAGGCAAUAAUGACUUGGAUGUAAACACCCAGAGCACAAUACAUCCAUGCUGACACAGAAAGGCAGUGAUUACUUGGUUGUAAACACAGAGCACAAUACAUCCUUGUAUGACUUGGUUGUGAACACCCUGAGUACCCUACAUGCAUGCUGACACAGAAAGGCAGUAAAGACUUGGUUGUAAACACCCAGAGCACAAUACAUCCAUGCUGACACAAAAAGGCAGUAAAGACUUUGUUGUAAACACUAAGAGAUCCAUACAUCCAUGGGGUGUGCCACAGCCGCAAAUUACGCCCACUAUUGUGAACAAGGUUCUUAAAGUGAACAUAUCUGGUUUUGUUAUGAGCACAUAGAACUCCAAGCCCAAAAGGCCUCGCAUUGAAUUGAUGCAAGAGAAGGCUUUGAAAAAUAACAGCAGUUUUGUUGUGUGGUCCAAUACGCCCUUCGACUCUCAACCUGAAGAAAGCAAAACUCAAACUCAUCUCUUAGCAAUAUUAGCAAGGCCAGCAUGUCAUCUCAGCUUCUUGAACUUCAGUGAAUUUUACUAGCAAACAUGACAAACGUCAUUGAAGUGAAAGUCGAUGACAACCCCCUUCUUGCAAAAAUACUACAACUCGCUUAAGAAGUUCAGCAUGAACACGUCUUGCAUCAAACCACCAAGCCUCCUUUCAAUAUCUCCUCCCAUGUUGGCUACAUCAACACUUCCAACAGCAGAGCCUUGGUGAGUUAGACUUCCGUCUCAGCAUCGAUGUCGCUUAGCAACAAUUGGAUGAUGGGCGUCGACAAAUUAUGCCGUACAAGUCGCUCGAACAGAAACGAUCUGAUCCAACAGGUAGAGAGUCCAUUAAUGUGACUACUCGAUAUGUUGUUCUCGAAUAAUGUGAACCUUAGGCCUGGAGAGCAGUAUGCGAUUGACGCCAUUCAACAACAGUUGUUGUCGGCAAUUCUCGGGUUUGAGGUGGCGACUUCAGCGUCGGGACUCGCUCCAUCUCUGUCUGGCCCAGUCACAGCAGCAGCAGCAACAAGAACAAUAAGUAGUAUCUUAGUGGUGUUCUGGGAUAUGGGGCUUCAUGUAUGUGCUUAAAUUGUCAUCCCAGAUUAGCCUGUGCAGACUGCACCUACAUUAAGUCCUAUUAAAUUGUCGUCCCAGAUUAGCGUAUGCAGACUGCACAUACAUAAAGUCCUAUUAAAGUGUCAUCACAGAUUAGCCUGUGCAGACUGCACAUACAUUAAGUCCUAUUAAAUUGUCGUCCCAGAUUAGCCUAUGCAGACUGCACAUACAUAAAGUCCUAUUAAAUUGUCAUCCCAGAUUAGCCUGUGCAGACUGCACAAACAUUACGUCCUAUUAAAGUGUCAUCCCAGAUUAGCCUGUGCUGACUGCUCAUGCAUUAAGCCCUAUUUUCCCCGAAUGAGGCUCAUAUACUACACUUAACAUCAGUAUUUUAUGUGCCUGAAAAGUUCCUAGCAUCAAAUGGGAAUUAUGUGCUUUUAAAUUGAUCACACUAAGUAAAUAAAAUGCAAAUAGCACUUGAUCUGAUAUCAAUUUUAAUCAUAGAAGGUCAGGGCAUGAAGUUUUGUAUAUUUUCGACCGAAAUUCAGCCCCUGAACCAAAAGUUUAUCCUUGCAGAAAAAUCUGCUUUAAUAGAAUUGUAAAAUUAUAUUUAAUGUAGUAAAAUAAUUAUGUAAAAGCCUUCAGCUCAUUUCAAUAUUAUUUUCUUUAUUUAUUUUCAAUAUUUAUUAAAAUUACUGGAUAUUGUUUUAAGAGCCUGUUCCUACAGGAACCCAUGCACUCAUAGAUCGGUACCUAGCUGAACAACAGGCUGUCUGGUCAGCUGGGCCCAGACGCCUAGUGACACUUCCUGGCCCAGGACCUUUGGGCAAAUGCUCAACUAGUCCUACCCACAGGGUGGAGCCACACUGAUCCUGGGGCUCCAUACUUUCUUGGCCAGGGGCCAAGAUAACCUCGCCAAUAAGGGACACAUUCCUGUGAUGCCCUAAGGUCUUUCUAUCUGUUCACAGAGGUCUUAUACUCACAAGUUCAAGCCCAUUGAGCGAUGUUCACAUUAUCAAACUCUGCAUCUCAAUAGGUUGUUUUCAUCCGAUCUUCACCAAACUUUGUCAGAAGUCGUAUCUAGAUGGUGUCAUGGUCAAGUGUGAAUAUGGGUCAUGCAGGAUCAAAACCUAGGGCAUGAAACCCGGAUAGCAAAGCGUUGGUUUGUUUUUGAAACAUUUGAACCAGCAACAGUCAUCUUUGGAGUUUCUGACAUGUCUAUGGUGUGGAACCCUCAGUCUAUGAACAUCAUAACAGCACAUGAACCAGCAGCAGUCAUCAUCUCAAGAUUCUGGUAUAUCCAUGGUACAGGACCCUUAGUCUGUACAGAUCUUGCAGAACAAACUUCAGAUGCAAUUUGAGAAAAUCAAACCAUCCAAUCGGAAACACAGCCUGUUGCAGCAAUUGUUAACAUAUUGAUCCCAGUCAAACCUAAGAAGCUCAGAGUUACAUACUGUUUAACAUGUGCUAGUCUUCAUAUACCUCCUGGUUUGUUCAGCACUUACUCUUUGAAUGUUAUGACGGGUGAAAAUGAAUGACCUUGUUCAGAUCGAAAUUGCAGAAUGACACAUCACAACAAUUCAAGUGGAAAGCCACAAAGCCAUGUCAACAGCCACAUGUUGUAUGUUGCCAGCCAAGCUGUAUUAAAAAACACAAUAGCUUACGUUUUAUGUUAUAUGUGACCAACCAAGUUAUAUUCAUACAAAAACAAUAGUUUAUGCUUUAUGGGAAUUGUUAUGCUGUCAGUCUUUAUGUUGAAAUAUUGUGUUCAAUAUAGCAUGUUAAGUAUUUUAAAAGCACGCAUAUUGCUCGUAUAUGCAAUCUCUUUGUCUAUAUUAUGAUAUCACUAUCUAUUGUGAUCCCGAUAAUGGUAAACUAAUGGGAAAUACGCUUUAAUCAAAGACUUUCAAAGUGUGACAAAGCUGUCUAAAUGAGGUUGGUAACUUGGACAACAUUAAUAAAAUAUUGGAGUGUUUUCAUGUUAUAAAACAUGUUUCAGUUUUCUGUUUUUUUACCCGUAUUAUAGAUAAGCUAGAUAAAAGUAGUGUAAAGAAAGGUUUAGAAGUUUUACGCUUCAGCUUUUUCUGUUUAUCAAUCUUUCUAAAAAAAAAUACUAAUAAAUUUGCACAUUCGGGUCGGUUUUCGAACAAGAAUCUUGUUUAAUAGCAUUCGUGGAAAUCCAAAUAAAUUAUGUGCACACAUGUAAUUUACCUAAAAGUGUCGAUUCUGUAUUUACUACCAGUACUUUGUUGAUUUCAAUGGAUAUUGUUUGUUAAAUAGUCGAUAAUGGUUAUUGCAUUUUUGGGAAAACUUUAAGGAAAACCUGAAAAUUAAAAAAAAAAUUUUUUUUCGAGUUUUAUUAAAAGUGGCAAAAGUUAUAAAUGUUAUUUUGUGUUGUUAAAUCAUAGACUUAGAUGCUCAUAAGUGUUUAAAUUUAUUUUCGGACAUAAUAGUUUAUAAUGCUUUAUAUUUGUAUAUGCAUAUGAAGACGACCAAAAUGUAUCCUUUUUAAUCACUGAGUAUCUUACUGGUAAUCAAUAUCUCUUGAUCACUGCAUACAUUGUAGAGGUAUAUUUGACAUUUAUAUACAGAGCAACACUGUGAAACAAUAGUAUUUUAAACGUACAUUAUUUAUUUAUUGUUGCAAUUUUUAUAAGAUAAACUCACUGUUUACAUUAAUUUGUACACAUCAUAGUCAUAAAAAAUAUUGAUUGUGUGAAUCCUCAUAUAUGUAUUGAACUGUUAAAAUAAUGCACAGUAACAGAUUCUGAAGAGAAAAAUGUACUCAAUGAAAUAUAAACACCUUGUUAUAUCAACUGCUUUUAAUGAAGAACAACUACUUAAAAUAAGUUUAAUUUUGUUUUACAUUAUCUAAAGAAAAUUUAGUACCUUGUUAUUUGAAAUCAGUCAUUCACAAAUUAAGGAAUAGUGUUGUCAUAUGCUAACAAUUGUCAAAAAAAUGAAAUUGUCUCUAUUGGUAGAGUAGAGAGCAAUAGUAUUUGCUUAACAAAAUAUAAACAAAGAUGUCUGCUUUGUAAGUGUAUGUGGAAUAAACACUUAUGUUUGUGCUUAUAUUAAACGUGAACGUAUUGACGUAUUGCUGAUAAUAAAGUUUGACAUUUUAUUAGUUUUGUAACAAUGUGUUUGACCUUUUAUGUUAACAUUCCCACAAUUGAUGUCAGCGCAGUGCCUUCAAUGGAGUCAUUUUCUGUAAAUCUCCCACUGUUAAAGUUCAGCAAAUGUUUUAAGACCAGAUUUCCUUAAACUUGGAGUUGUUUAUAUUUAACAUUUUUUGAAUGCAUGAAACAUGUUUUUUAUGUUGUAGAAUAGCUGAAACUAGCUUGAUGUUUGUAAAUUGUUUGACAUGUUAAUCAAAUUGAUAAUAGAGACCAACACUCAUUAUGCGUUAAUUUGUAUGUUUAGCUAAACAAAAAAUGUUAACAAACACAAAUAUAAGAUAUAUUCGUGAAACAGUAUCAAAUGCAAUUUGAAAUAUAAUGUUUAAAUAUGUUCGUCGACUCCAAAUAAGCAUUUUGAAUAAGCAAAUUAAUACAUAAAUACUCUCUAAGGAAAGUACACGCAGGCACUUUUCAAUCGCUUGUGUACUUCAUAUUAAUCAGGGUCUUUCUAAAUUCAUGCAUGAUUUUGUAUGCCUAUGUCUGAAUUGUGUAAAUAUCUGUUAAAUCACUGUUAAAAAGGAUUUAUAUAUUAAAAGUUAAAAUAGUGUCUAAACUUUAACCGGGCAUCUGUUGCAUUUAUUUUUACGUGUUUAUAUUUUCUGGCUUACUGUGCUUAAUUUUGUCUAUAAUUGUGCGUACUUUUAUUGUGGUUUUCAUAUUAAGACAAAGCGCACUACUCUUAUGCUGUUGUUUUUGUCCACCAUUUCUAUACAAAAUGUUGUAUGUAAAUAAUUAAGCAUGUUGAUGUUGGUAAUAAUGUAUUUCCUGAUCUAAUAUUGAUGAUGCACUCAAUAAAGUACAUAACCAUUUAUGUGGACUAGUAUUGUUUAGUGAUAUUUUGUUGUUAUUACUAAUAAAAUCUUCAAGGAUUGGC